UUUUAUGAGAGUUUGAUCCUGGCUCAGGACGAACGCUGGCGGCGUGCCUAAUACAUGCAAGUCGUACGCUUCUUUUUCCACCGGAGCUUGCUCCACCGGAAAAAGAGGAGUGGCGAACGGGUGAGUAACACGUGGGUAACCUGCCCAUCAGAAGGGGAUAACACUUGGAAACAGGUGCUAAUACCGUAUAACAAUCGAAACCGCAUGGUUUUGAUUUGAAAGGCGCUUUCGGGUGUCGCUGAUGGAUGGACCCGCGGUGCAUUAGCUAGUUGGUGAGGUAACGGCUCACCAAGGCCACGAUGCAUAGCCGACCUGAGAGGGUGAUCGGCCACAUUGGGACUGAGACACGGCCCAAACUCCUACGGGAGGCAGCAGUAGGGAAUCUUCGGCAAUGGACGAAAGUCUGACCGAGCAACGCCGCGUGAGUGAAGAAGGUUUUCGGAUCGUAAAACUCUGUUGUUAGAGAAGAACAAGGAUGAGAGUAACUGUUCAUCCCUUGACGGUAUCUAACCAGAAAGCCACGGCUAACUACGUGCCAGCAGCCGCGGUAAUACGUAGGUGGCAAGCGUUGUCCGGAUUUAUUGGGCGUAAAGCGAGCGCAGGCGGUUUCUUAAGUCUGAUGUGAAAGCCCCCGGCUCAACCGGGGAGGGUCAUUGGAAACUGGGAGACUUGAGUGCAGAAGAGGAGAGUGGAAUUCCAUGUGUAGCGGUGAAAUGCGUAGAUAUAUGGAGGAACACCAGUGGCGAAGGCGGCUCUCUGGUCUGUAACUGACGCUGAGGCUCGAAAGCGUGGGGAGCAAACAGGAUUAGAUACCCUGGUAGUCCACGCCGUAAACGAUGAGUGCUAAGUGUUGGAGGGUUUCCGCCCUUCAGUGCUGCAGCUAACGCAUUAAGCACUCCGCCUGGGGAGUACGACCGCAAGGUUGAAACUCAAAGGAAUUGACGGGGGCCCGCACAAGCGGUGGAGCAUGUGGUU
rnacentral:rRNA from 1 species